rnacentral:lncRNA from 1 species
GCUUCCGGUACAAGAGCCGAGCGCCGGAAGCCCAGGCUGUCGCGACUGGCUGUGGAGUGCGCUGCCGUCCUGCCUGGUGAGAACCCAAGUGAGACCCGUAGAGCCGCAGGCCUUAGAGACGCGAGGUUUACUGCUGGUAAGUCCGCAGCUUCACCUCUGGAAGGGUACUGCCGCCUCCAGGGAGGGCUCAAAACUGCCGCGAGGGCGCGGGUGUGCUUCGUUGAGAAGUCUCCCUGGACGUGCGAGGCCUUGGUUUUUUCCCCCAAUACCUUAAAACGAAACAAAAACCACAGAAACCAUUUUAAAAUCUCAGGUGUACACGCCACGGAAAAAGCACAGGAAAAAAAAUCAUCACCUUGAUUGAGGAGAAUCUCUUAGACCUCCCGGCUGACGGCAGAAGUUUCUCAUAGCAGGUUAAUGAGCACGGUGCUUUCGAAAAGGCAUUCGAGGGAAGGACACGACUUUUGCGUUCGGGGAAACCACACGGUAGUUUAUUCCGAGCCAGACAGGAGUGACCUAGGCCCGGGAACGCAGAUUCCAGUUGCCUUGAAGUGUACUGAAGAAAUCCAAGUUGGACACAGAGAACGAAGGUCGUCGUCCUCCGUGCACGUACCAGGGGUGCUGGGCUGAACACAGGUUAGGUCAAAUGGGAAAAUGGACUGCGUUCUCAGGGAGGUUGGUCAGGCUCUAGUUCUGGAAUUCUGGGGAGUACCAGGGAUUGAAUCUGGAGAUGCUUGACUACCGAGCCCCAUGUCCAGCCCUUUUUUAUUUUGAGACAGGGUCUCACUAAGUUGCCUAGGACCUUAUUGAGUUAUUGGGGCUGGUGUUGAACUUGAAAUCUUCCUGCCUCAGUCUUCCCAGCUGCAGGGAUUACAGGUGUGUGCCACCAGGCCCAGCAGGUUCUGUUCUUUUGCCUAAUUGUCAUGUCAGGGUUAAGUCAGAUGCAGAUGAUCAGAAGUAGUGGAUUUUUUUCUUAGGGGCUGAAGUAACCCUUGUCUCAAAAGCUGCCAGUGCCUUACCUCUCAGCUUGCCUUCCAUUUUGUCUCUAUUUGAGAGGAAAUAGUUGGCAACUGGUGCUUGCUUGAAGAAUUCUAUCAUAGUAGUUUAUUGUGGAAUAUUUAAAAGAAACCUCUCCAGGGUAGGGUUGAUGCACUGUUUGCAGAUAAGACAAUUAUGGUUUUUUUCAGGAAGGUUCUAAAAUAAAUGCACAAAUUUCUGUCUAUUUCUAAAUUGAAAGCUGUGGAGAGUGGAUGAGCCCCGGGUCUCCACUGAUCCUGCGGGAUCAUCAAAAGCCAAUCCCAUGAAACAUUCUUCGCCAAAAAGGCAAAGAUAUUAAUAAUCUUGACCCUCAGCUCUGAUGCUAACAGUGACAUUCCAGGACAAUGGGUUUCCUGGGUGCAGCAGGGUAUUCCUCACACUUGAUACUGUUUUUGAAAUUAAAAUUAAACAGUAGGAUAGCUACAAAAAUGUUUCUAGUUUUGAAACUUUUUAGUGCACAAAGAAACUUUUUUUUUUUUUGUGUGUGUGGUGUUGGGGAUUGAACCCAAGGCCUUGUGCAUGUGAGGCAGGCACUCUACCAACUCCCCAGCCCGCAAAGAAGCCUCUUGGUAACUUCAAAUUAGAAUAGACACUUUAUGUACUCUUAAUGACUUCCAAAAACUUCUGAGUGACAUUGAUUGAUUACGUCCCUCUUUAAAGUUAACUACAUCAAAGUUAGUUAGUUCACUAUCCUCAAAGGCGAACCUCUGUCUCCUCAACAACUGACUUCAGAAGCUAAAACUGCACUGACUCAGGAACACUGUUCUUCAAGCAGCCCAGCUUACUAUGGUCAAUCUAAAUAGAUCUAUUCAAGUAGUGACUUUUCCUGCUACUCAUAUCCCUACAGGAAUUCUUAGGCAGGAAACAAAAAUUAUAAAAUGGCUUCACCUGCUACAUUCUCCUAAAUCCUUAAUGCCAUUUUCAUGAUUAGUUGCUCAGUUAAUUUCAAAAACUCAAUGAGUACAGCAACUCUUAGGGCUAGUGCAUUCCCUUAUUGUAGUUCGUUUUACUACUGCACAACAAGGUUGGCUUUGACAAAAUUCUGCAAGUUGACGGAUUACACUUGCUAAUUUUUCUGGCCAAAUUGAUAGCUAUUUACACUUUGAUAAAAUUUCUAUAACAACUUUUGUUUUCCCUAAAAUUGUUUGCACUAAACCAAUUUCUCAGGCUCUAAUGGUUUUUACUGAUGGGUCCAGCUCAGGGAGGCCAGAUUAAAAUUUUUGCCUUACAACCCUUUUCAUCAGAAUCUAUAAAUAUUUACAGUGACAGUCCUUAUGCAGUGGGGGCAACUCAGGUAAUUGAAACAGCCACUAUUGGUCAUAUUAACUCUGAGGUAUUAUUUUAGCUUUUUAAAUCUUUACAAAACUCUAUGCAACAAUGUUAGCUUUUUUUUAUUGGACAUAGUUGAGCUCAUUCAGGUCUCGCAGGACCUUUUGUAGAAGGAAACAAUGUUAUAGAUCAUCUUGUUGCAUCAGUAGAAUGUGUAUCACCUUAUUCCUCUCUCAGGCAUCACAUGCCCUACAUCACCAAAAUGCUUCCAGUUUGCACAAAGAAUUUCACCUCUCUAGGGAGCAGGCUUGGACCACAGCUAAACAAUACCCUCAAUGUAUUAUUCACCCCCCCAGUCUUAUUAACUGGGAUAAAUGCUCGGGGCCUUAAGCCAAAUCACAUUUGACAGAUGGAAGUUCUGCAUGUACAAGAGUGUGGAAGACAACAGUAGGUACAUGUGUCUGUUGACACCUAUUCUAUUAUUUUUGCUACAGCACAAAUGGGAGAAAGUGGUAAAGGUCAUUAGUUAUUGGCUGAUUUUGCAGUCAUGGGCAAACCAGUUCUUUUCAGUGCUUUUGUGUUUCUUAUAUUAUUCAUAAGAUACGAAUCCCAUAGAAUACUCAAGGACCAGGAAUAGUAGAAUGUGCCAAUAGAAUGUUAGAAAUUCAACUUCAGAAACAAAAAGGGGGGGGAUAGGUAUUAUCCAUCUCCACAGAAUCAAUUGCAUCAUGCUCUUUUUAUUUUGAAUUUCUUAAAUUGUAAUGAGAAGGGCUGCACUGCAGCUGAGAGACACCAAGUCUCUGGUUCAGCUUGUUCAGCAGGAAUGGUAUGAUAGAAAGAUUUACCAUCAGGAAAAUAGAAUGGGCAGGAUCCAGUAAUGACGGGAAGAGGUUAUGACUGUAUCUUUCCAGAAGGUGCUGAGAAGCCGAUUGGGUAUCUGAGAGAGGAGUCAUCAACAUGGAUCCAAAAAGUGAACACGAACCCGAAUCCAAAAGACUGAAGAUCACACCAUCAAUAACGGUACCGACACAACAGCUACCUUUAAACAUGCAGCCAAGCAAAGGAGGCAAGAAAAAGGAAGGAGCAACAAAAAGCACACUACGCGUAAAUCCCCCGACAUGGAGUCAGAUCCAGAACUUGGCAAGCAAAGCUCAGGGAGUGAUUGAGAAGCAGGGGGUCCCUGAGACACCAGCUACCAUGUUUAUGGCAAUGCUGGCUGUUCUAAGUUGUCAGGUAUGUAUCGUAACGAGAAACUUAUUGGACAUAUUUUCCAGGUCCUCCAUUAAUUAAUCCCACUACCUGGGCUGGAGGAUCUGUUCCAGUGUUUACAGAUUAGUCUGCCAUGGGGGGGUUGUCAAUCUGAUUUUCAUAUUUUCCCUCUUAUUUCUUUAAUUUUCUUAUUCUGGGUAUACUGCUGAGGUCCCUAUGUCCCAGGAAUCCUAUGGUGGUACUUGUGUUGCCGGUUUCCAGUCCUUCUUUAGGAUUUGAAAAAAUAUAUACAAACUAUUAUCAAAAUAGAUUUUCCUAAAUAAGAACUCUGACAACAUCCUCUGUUCCCUUAUUGCCCAAAUUCCAGCACUUCAGAACUGGGAACUUUUCCUCAGUGGCGAGAUUGUGCUAAUUUAGUUCCUGUAAGACAUAUUUGCAGUCCAAGUCAUAUGUCCUCAUAAGUUUGAUUUGGAACAUUCUCAUAAUGAACUCAUGACCCCUGGAGGGUUUGUUAGUAAAAUCUGACCUCAAGAUCAGGAGGCAUUCAGAAGAAUUUAUGGCAUCUAGCUGCUAUUUUAGAUUUUGUUAAUUUUACUAGUCAGUUGCUUUCACAUCUAACCACUGAUUGUACCACCAACUCAUUUUAUGGUUUGUGGUUGUGUGUUCAGUCUCUUUAUGCAUUAUUAACAGGAAAUACUAAUCUCACAAAAAUGGGCAGUGAUCACUAUUUUGUAACGAGUACUAACUGUAAUCUUACUAAUUGUGUGACUAAUAUAACAAAAAUCAAGGUAUUUUGGUUUUAUAUCAGCCUUCCUUUCUUAUGCUUUCCACCAGCAUCACGGAUGACUGACAUUAAGAUAAUAGGGCUAGGUUGGCAUGGUGGUGCACACCUUUAAGCCCGGUGGUUUGGGAGGCUGAGGCAGGAAGAUCACAAGUUCAAAGCCAGCCUUAGCAAAAACGAAGCACUUAGCAACUCAGAGAGACCCUGUCUCUAAAUAAAAUGCAAAAUUGGGCUGGGGAUUGGCUCAGUGGUCAAGUGCCCCUGAGUUCAAUUCCUGGUUUACCACCACCACCACCGCCCCCCAAAAAAGAUAACAGGGCUAUAAUUAUCAAGAACUUCAUAAUCAGCUGAUUCAAUCUUCUGUGCUAUGGGACUUAUAGUCUUUGGUAUUGUAACUUUAAUUAUAUUGCGAUUGUUUCUACAAUCACUGCCUCUGACAUUCUGGUACAGGAUAUCCAACUCAUUUUGUCAAUGCUUGACACAAAAUACAUUAAGAACCCUGUAAGAUCAGGAGAAUACUGAUAAUAAACUUAAAGCUAAGUUAAAUGCUUUAAAACCUAGUGUAAUAAACUUAGGUAAUCACAUAGUUUUAAGGUCAGAGGACAAUUACAGUGCCAUGUUGCUUAUCAG